ensembl:snRNA U6 U6 spliceosomal RNA
UCGCUUCAGCAGCACAUAUACUAAAAUUGGAACAAUACAGAGAAGAUUAGCACGGCCCUUGCACAAGGGUGACACACAUGCUUGUGAAACGUUCUGUAUUUUG